rnacentral:rRNA from 1 species
CCUACGGGCGGCAGCAGUGGGGAAUAUUGGACAAUGGGCGAAAGCCUGAUCCAGCCAUGCCGCGUGUGUGAAGAAGGCCUUCGGGUUGUAAAGCACUUUCAGUGGGGAAGAAAGCCUUGGGGCUAAUACCCUCGAGGAAGGACAUCACCCACAGAAGAAGCACCGGCUAACUCCGUGCCAGCAGCCGCGGUAAUACGGAGGGUGCGAGCGUUAAUCGGAAUUACUGGGCGUAAAGCGCGCGUAGGCGGUCUGAUAAGCCGGUUGUGAAAGCCCCGGGCGCAACCUGGGAACGGCAUCCGGAACUGUCAGGCUAGAGUGCAGGAGAGGAAGGUAGAAUUCCCGGUGUAGCGGUGAAAUGCGUAGAGAUCGGGAGGAAUACCAGUGGCGAAGGCGGCCUUCUGGACUGACACUGACGCUGAGGUGCGAAAGCGUGGGUAGCAAACAGGAUUAGAUACCCCUGUAGUC